rnacentral:sRNA from 1 species
CCAACCUAUCUAUUGCUGCAAGCUAUCCCUCGCUGCUAAGCUAUCGCUGCCAACCUAUCUAUCGCUGCCAAUUUAUCUACCACUGCCAAUCUAUCUAUUGCUGCUAAUCUAUCGCUGCUGUCAAUCUAUCUAUCGCUGCUAAUCUAUCUAUCGCUGCUAAUCUAUCGCCGCUGCCAAUCUAUCCCUCACUGCUAAGCUAUCCCUCGCUGCUAAGCUAUCACAGCCAAUCUAUUGCUGCUAAUCUAUCGCUGCCAACCUAUCUACCGCGGCGAAUCUAUCUAUCGCUGCCAAUUUAUCUACCACUGCCAAUCUAUCUAUCGCUGCCAAUCUAUUGCUGCUAAUCUAUCGCUGCUAAUCUAUCGCUGCUGCCAAUCUAUCUUUCGCUGCUAAUCUAUCGCCGCUGCCAAUCUAUCCCUCACUGCUAAGCUAUCUCUCGCUGCUAAGCUAUCCCUCACUGCUAAGCUAUCCCUCGCUGCUAAGCUAUCCCUCACUACUAAGCUAUCUAUCACUGCCAAUCUAUCUAUCGCUGCUAAUCUAUCGCUGCCAACCUAUCUACCGCGGCGAAUCUAUCUAUCACUAUCAUUACUAGUUCAAAAUAGAACUAGAGCAUAAAUACACUAAACUUCUUUUGAUAGGUAAUGAUUUUUGGUAACACUCAUAGCAUUAUAUCAUCUAUAUAGGGUAAAUCAUGGUCCCAUUUGGUCCCAUUUUAACAAAAUGGGAUCAAAUGGGACCAGAAUCAGUAAUUUAUAAGAAGAACAUGACCUGGGACUAGAUUUAUAAUAUAAACAGUGUAAAGUGACUAAUUUAAUAAACACUAUAUAGGACCAGGACUAAGAAAUUUGAUAAUG